CCCUGCCCUUUGUACACACCGCCCGUCGCUCCUACCGAUUGGAUGGUCCGGUGAGAAUUCUGGACUGCGGCCUUUCCGUGUGGUUCGCCACACGCGGCUGCGGGAAGCUAUUCAAACCUUAUCAUCUA
rnacentral:rRNA from 1 species